rnacentral:rRNA from 1 species
GAUCAUGGCUCAGGAUUAACGCUGGCGGCGCACAUAAGACAUGCAAGUCGAACGGACUUAAUCGAUUCUUUUAGAUUCGAAGCGGUUAGUGGCGGACUGGUGAGUAACACGUAAGGAACCUGCCUAUUAGAGGGGAAUAACAACGAGAAAUCGUUGCUAAUACCGCAUAAGCUAGUAGUACCGCAUGGUACAGCUAGAAAAGGAGAAAUCCACUAAUAGAUGGCCUUGCGUCCGAUUAGCUAGUUGGG